UACGUAGGGUGCAAGCGUUAAUCGGAAUUACUGGGCGUAAAGCGCGCGCAGGCGGUUUUUCAAGUCAGUGGUGAAAGCCCGGAGCUCAACUCCGGAACUGCCAUUGAAACUGUGAAACUUGAGGAUGAGAGAGGUGAGUGGAAUUCCCAGUGUAGAGGUGAAAUUCGUAGAUAUUGGGAAGAACACCGGUGCGAAGGCGGCUCACUGGCUCAUUUCUGACGCUCAGGCGCGACAGCGUGGGGAUCAAACAGG
rnacentral:rRNA from 1 species